GCGGGGAAGCGAGGGGGGGCGCCGCCCCACCCCCUUCUCCGGAAUCCCCACGCCGUGAAGUCAUAAUCCUGUGUCUGUGACACCCUGUCGGUUGCUAUGGAAACGACUCGCUGUUAAACACUGGCGUUCUCAAUGAGGGUUGCAGGGGUUCCGAGGCGGACCUGGGGAGCAGAAACCCCUGUUUAGGGUGAACCGUGGCGGGCGCCGAUGGCCUCUUGGAAGAGGACAGACUAGCAGCUGCGAGGGAGAUGGGACUGGGUUUCACCCCUGAAAGGGCCCCUGGAGACAGCGGGGAAACUGACAGGGAGAUCAUGAUGUCGCCAUUUUGAUGGGGUCCCCAGAGGAGAGAUGUCCUCCCCAACGGCUCCUGGACAGGACUGGGGAAAGAGUUCAGAUAAGUAUCUCUGUGGUCUGGGCUGUCACCUUACAACUGCACAACUCUGGACCUCCAGCAUCAGAACCACUGGGGCCUAGGUUAAUAAUACAGAUUUUCAGGCUCCAAUUUGGACAGACGAAACUGAUCUCUGGGGUGGGACCCAGGAAUCUACGUGUAAACAAGCACCCAGGGGAGUUCUGCUCACUGAAAUUUGAGAAUCCCUGAUUUAGAAGGAGGACUAUGCUCUGUGCAUGUUCUCUGAAAUGUUGGGUCAAUCAGGACCUGUCUACUGAAACUGCUCCAACCAGCCAAGGUGCAGAGAAAAGAUGCGUGCAGGGCCGAAAACCAGGGUGCUCUGGAGGCAGGGAGCCCUCGAGAAUGUAAAGCCAGCAAGCUGUUACAGAGUGAUUUGCACAGAACAGACACUCAGUUGAUAUUUGUCAAUUUGCUGUGUUUAAGAACCUUGCUGAAUUAAUUUAAAAGGUAUUUUUAAAAGAAUGAAAUUGAGGAAAAAACCUUCAAGGUUCAGAAAAUGUGAAGUUCUCAUUUACUUGUUUAUGAAAUUGUUUUUGAGUCCAAUAAAGAUGCUCAGCUAAAAUGGUUUUUUUGUUUUAAAUCUCAGAAUUAAGUUUCUCUUAGUUUUGGGCAGUUCGGUCCAGCUACUUGCAAAAGACAGGCUUCCAUAUCUCCUGUAUGCAGCCCUGAAGGACCCAACAGAAGUAAAAUAGUUAUUUAAGGAAUGCAAAGGACUAGGGACAGGAUGCAGAUUAAAAUGUUUAAGAUGAUGUCUGCAGAUGAUGUUUGUAGAUGCUUAAGUUUGUUGAAUUCUUAGUCUUCCUCACAAAGCAGCUAAUUACUUUCAAGACUCUAGUGAGCCUCAAUUUACUCCAAUUUAUGAUUUCCAAUGGUUCUGCAUAAAACUGGGUUGCCGUUUUAUGAAAUUGUUUGCAUCUGCUUGACGUGGGCGCAAACUUCACAGUGAGGAGAUAAUGUGAGGGUUUUGCCUUCUUGCAAAACAACUUACAUAUAUAUGUGAAAAAACUGGGGUUGGGGUUUGAAUUAUGUGGACUGCCUGUGCGUAGUAAGCUCUCUGGUCAGUUACCUAUUUGGCUUUGUGUGGACACAGCUCUUAGGAGGGAGGGUGGUGGAAUUCCUGCUCAUUACCUAUAGUAUCUUGCAGGAGGGCUGCUGAACGCCGGAGCCUUACAACUGUUAAACUCAGGCAGAGCUCGGGAAAUGCUGCCCGGAUGGGUGACUGAUGGAGAGGGGCUACCACUCUUCCAGCUAAACUCCGCUCUGGUUGGGACCCAGCAAUUAUUUUCCAUAGCGAAGUGUUAAUAAAAUAUCUGUUACUCCCAACACAACCUCCUGGGGGAAGGGACCUGUCUGUCUGCUUCAACUUUGGAUCCUCAGUGCCCACAUCAGGAUACCUGGCCUGAGAGCAUCCGGUGACCCAGUUUUAGGUCUCAAGGUCACUGCCAAGAAAGAGAAGCUGCUAAAGUGACACCUCUGUGCACCCACAUGACUUAACACAAAAGUUAACAGGAGCUCUUCAAAAACAAGCCUCUCGAGUGUCUGUCUCCUGUUUUCCCUGAGGACAGCAUCAGUGGCAUCAGAUAGGGGUUGGGGCUGGGUGACCUGCUGGUCCUCAGCCAUCACUGUGGCCCAGAGGUCAUUUAAGCAGCUCUCUGCUUAGCAGACAGGCAGAGGGAAUAGAUGGAAGGUACAGGUAAACACUGCAUGUGGCCACCGCGAGGAUACCCCGGAGCCUGGGAAACAGACAGGGACGUCGUAAAACCAACACAUAAUGGACCAGUGCAGAGACAGGCAAAACCAGUCAGAAGAAAUAGGAUGGUGCCUAGCCCAGGGACACCUGACUUAAGAGAGGGUCCUGCCGGUAUUACCCUGGAGGAAGGAAUGCUGCACAGAGGCCGAGAGGAAUUUGAACAGACUGGCCUUGCUGGGUUUUUAUCUCUUUUUGUCCAAUCCCAUUUUGACACAGUUGUCCAUGCUCCAAUCAUGCUUAUCCAAUGAAGUUUCCAUAACAGGCCUGAGAGGACAGGGUUCAGGAGCUUCCGGACAGCUGAGCAGGUGGAGGUUCCUGGAGGGUGGUGUGCCAGGGAGGGUGUGGAAGCUCUGCCCCUUCCCCCAUACCUUGUCCUAUGCAUUCCUUUAUCUGCAUCCUUCAUUUUAUUUUAUUUUUUUUUGAGACGGAGUCUUGCUCUUGUCGUCCAGGCUGGAAUGCAGUGGUGCGCGA
rnacentral:lncRNA from 1 species